rnacentral:pre_miRNA from 1 species
AGUGGAAUAGCUGAGUCAAAUGGUGGUUCCUUUCUAAGUUUUCUAAGGUCUCUUCCUACUGCUUUCCAAAGUGGUUGUACCAUUUUGCAAUCUCACCAGCAAU